CUUUCCGGUGUCGUAGUCUAGGAAACCGCCUCCCCAAGGCUACUUCCGGGUAGAGCAGCAGUGGGAUGGCCUCAGAACCAAUGGAAACUGCCUCGGAGAGGGGCUGGCCACAGCUACAGGACGGGGCAUUGGCCAGGAGAAGCGGGACGUGGACAAAAGGCGGGACUGGGCAGGGAGCUGUCCAUUCGACCCACCUCCGACCCCUGGAGUUGCCACCUGGGAACUACUAGUCCCAAAGUGCACCGCUUCCUUCGCCUUGCCUACAGCCCUAAGCGCAGGCGCCUUGCUGGCGCGCUGCGUCCUGGGACUUGUAGUCCUGUCCUGCAAGGGCCACGCAGGUCUAGACGUUCUAAGUUCCGCUGUCCCUUCGGCCAGUCCUCGUAGGUGGGCUACACAGUCCCUGGGAGUCGUCAGUUAUUUGCCCUUCUCUUCCUGAAGAUGUUUUCCUGAGAGCUGACAGAAUGAGACUUGUCCCCAGGCUCCUGGAUUUGAACACUCGGUCCUGUUGGUGGCACUAUUUGGGGAGGUCAUGGAGGUUUUAUAAGGUGAAGCUCUGCUAGAGGAAGUUCAUCACUGUGGGUUCCCAGGCUCAACCCCCGUUGUGCCCUGCUGGACAGGGCAGAUCGGCACCCAACAAUCCCGCUUGAAAACCCUAAGAAUCCCAGGAACGCUGCUGUGCCCAAGGGGGCAGGCCUGCCCGCGUUCACUGGGCCACCGCGCCCUAUGGGGGUAAGCACCGGCUUGCAGAAGUCGCCACAGCUCUACACAACUGUGAGACAGACUUGCAAAGAGUCGCCACGGCCCCACUCAGCAGUGAGACAGACCCGAGGUCGCCACGGCUUCGCAUGGCUGUGAGAAGAACCCGCAGUGAUCGCCACAGCUCUACCCCGCCUGUGAGUCUGAUCCGGAGGAAUAACGCAGCAGAGCAACCUAAGCUCACGCCAUGGGACAAACAUUUAGUAAGCAAGAUUUGUUCAUUAAGGGACUCAAAACAUCUCUCAAGACACGAGGAGUAAGGGUUAAAAUUAAGGAUCUUAACGUAUAUGAUUAGAUAUAUGAAACAGAAAAUUAUUGGUCAGAUGAUCAUAUGUUUACUUGUAUAUAUUUUAAUAGCCAGGAGAGUUGAAAUAAAGCAAAACUAAGUGCAGAAAAUUUUAGAGUUUAAAAGUUUUAAGAGGAUCCUUCCCUCCUGCAGAAGCCACCCAGCUGUAUCAGAGCUGCACCAGGGCUUGGGGAAGCAAAAGUUGCGACCGUGCAUACGAGAAGGACAGCAUAAAAUACCUGCCCCUGAAGCGGUUAGCAGAGACCUCCACCUACUAGGAGAGGCUACGUGAAAAGAACGUAAAGGGCAGAGAGGUUGGGAUGAUGAGUAUAAAGAGAGAGUCAUUGAGUAUCAGGACGGAGAGUCUUCACAUCCUUCAUUUUUAACUAGAAAUACAGAAAGGCAGAAACCUAGUGGUAAAAUUCAGCAGAGUAAGAGACUUGAAAGAUUUAGUGGAAUCGCUCACAGGAGAUAAGAACUUCUCAAGUUUCCUCGGAUCAGAGAAAUGUUCCUUGUCUAAGGCAGCAGCAAUCUUAGAUCAGCCUAGGGUACAAGCACCCCACGAGUCAUUGCCGGCAGCUGCAGCAGGUCAGAUGUCUCCAGUGCAGGUUACUGUUAGAGAAGUGGCAAACAAAGAAAAAGAUGUACAGGGAUUUCAGACAUUUCCUAUGACAGAGCAUGGGGAUGCUCAGGGAAUCAUAGGCAGAGAGUGCACACCAAUACCAUUUAAACAGCUCAAGGGACUAAAGAUGGCUCAUAUUCAGUAUAGACCAACAGCGGUUUUUGUCCAGAUGCUAAUAGAAAAUACUGCUAUAGAAACCUUACCCCCAGGAGAUUGGAAGCUGACAGCCAAGGCCUGUGUACCAGAAGGGAACUAAUUUGUUGUAGAAAGCAGAAUUUACAGACAGUGUCAAAACAUAGCUGAAAAAAAUAGAGCCCCAAACCUUCUGGUUUAUUAUGAGGUGCUCACUGAGGAAGGGCAAUACAAAGAUAUAGAUCAACAGUUAAGUUUUGAGGUAGCAAUGUAUGCACAGGUUGACACAGCUGCCAAGAGAACUUGGGACAAGCUUCCCGCUACCAGGACACAGACUAAGAAAGAGCAGGCAAGGACCUAAGGAGUUAUUUCAGAAUUUUAUCUCUAGGCUAAUACAAACAUCAUCCAAAAUAAGGGGAGAUACAGGUGUUAAACUUUUAAUUGAGACAAGUAGCUUAUAAGAGUGCUAAUACAACACGCCAGGCCCAAAGGACAAAGGUGAGGAUAGCUAAGGCCAAAGCCUAGGAAGCUUGCAGCCUUGAGAGCUGCUGCCAUGGCUGACGCCCAGACAAAUGUAUAGAAAAUUAAUACAGCCAGUCAGAAACUAUUUUAAGACCUUACAGAGAAAGAAAGACAACAUGAAUAAAUUUGGAUUUGUUCAGAUUUUGGAUGCUCAUAAUUCAAGGAUUGGCUAUAGCUACUGUGUUACAAGAAGCUUCAAUUAAAAAGUUUCAUUUCAACUAA